rnacentral:rRNA from 1 species
UGGGGAAUAUUGGACAAUGGGGGCAACCCUGAUCCAGCCAUGCCGCGUGAGUGAUGAAGGCCUUCGGGUUGUAAAGCUCUUUUGGCGGGGACGAUGAUGACGGUACCCGCAGAAUAAGCCCCGGCUAACUUCGUGCCAGCAGCCGCGGUAAGACGAAGGGGGCUAGCGUUGUUCGGAAUUACUGGGCGUAAAGCGAGUGUAGGCGGUUGCCGUAGUCAGGUGUGAAAGCCUUGAGCUCAACUCAAGAAAUGCACUUGAUACUGGGUGACUAGAGGACCGGAGAGGAUAGUGGAAUUCCCAGUGUAGUGGUGAAAUACGUAGAGAUUGGGAAGAACACCAGUGGCGAAGGCGGCUAUCUGGACGGUUACUGACGCUAAGACUCGAAAGCGUGGGGAGCAAACAGGAUUAGAUACCCUGGUAGUCCACGCCGUAAACGAUGGGUGCUAGACGUUGGCGAGCUUGCUCGUCAGUGUCGCAGCUAACGCGUUAAGCACCCCGCCUGGGGAGUACGGCCGCAAGGUUGAAACUUAAAUGAAUUGACGGGGGUCAU